rnacentral:lncRNA from 1 species
UACCUGUGAUUGAAGUCAGCUGGCCACGCCUCACUAUUUAGCAGAUCAAGACCAGGCAAUCCCGCGAUAGGCAAACGCAAAACCAAGCGCCACUUUCAGCACGUGUUAACCAGGACCAGCCCUGUGGAACAACGUAGAGAAGUUGCAAUUCUAUGCUUAAUUGUCUGCUUCUCUGAAAAUCCUGAGAAUCUCAUCAAGCACCAUCAGGAUACUUAUGGGAAUAAGGAGUAA